CUUGGCGACCAUAGCAUUGUGGACCCACCUGAUUCCAUGCCGAACUCAGAAGUGAAACACAAUAGCGCCGAUGG
rnacentral:rRNA from 1 species